CUGAGAAAGCACGCAGGGUUUUCAAGUUUAGCAUCUCCCCACCUGCUACAGGUUCUGUGCUAUGUCUGCAUUCCAAAUUCACACCCCUCCACACACCCUCAGAUUCUCUCCAGGAAACUUUGUGUUCGGUGAAAACUGUUACAAAUUCAGCUAGAAGUUUCCUUCUCCCUGUGGUCUUUUCUCAGUUCCUCUGGCAGCCCUCCCCAAGGACCUCUGUGAGACAAACUCAGAAACGGCUUCCCUUGGGACAUAAAGACCCCACAGGGCUCAUCCCUCUGCUUCUUCUACCCCUGUACUUUGCUCAGCUCACUAAAUUUGUCUCAGCUCCAGACAGCAAACUGCCUAAACUACAAAGGGAAAGGUCUAUGGUCCUAUAAGAGUUUACCUUGCAAGCAAGAUCAACAUUUUCUUGGGGAAAGAAGCCAAAUAAAGCCAAGAGUUUGUAUACAUCUUCCAAAUAUCCUGAGCUACAGAAAAGAAGAAAGGGUCAGAAAGAAGAUUCUCUCUGCUAGUCUCGCAUGGUUCUGAACACAUAGUAAAUGCUGAAUUACUAUUUCCUAAAUUAUCAUAAAGCUGAGAAGAAUCAUGAUUCUCAAACUUCACCUUGGAAUUAAAAUGGAUUUCCUUGAGAAGCACAUAUGAGGUAAGCAGACCUCUCCUGUGAUGUUCUGGAUAUGCCUGUCUCAACAGAUUUCAGGGUGGCCGUCUUCUCUGCAAAUUCAGUUCUCUGAUGUGUCCAAGGCCUUCAUUAUCUCACUUCACAAGAAGUCAGGUGCCAAGCAGAUCCAAGCUCAUUCAGAGGCUGCACCAUGUCAACUGGGACCCAGGUUUCAUCCAUGUUUCUGCUCUGUCAUUAUGUCAUACUCCAAGGGAGUCGCCAGAUGACUGCUGCAGCUGAGGCUUUUCUUUCACAGCAUCUAACAGAGGUAUGGGGAGGGUUUUCCCACACACCCCUUUUUUACAGGAAGGCACACCUGUUCCAGAAAUCUCUAAGAAAGUUCUUUUGCUAAAUGGCCAGGGUGUAGUCACAGCCCAUACUUAAACCAAUGACUGUUGCUGAUCAUGACUUUGCCAUGAUUGCCUUAGACUUAUCAAAUUUUCUCACCCCCAGGCUGGGGAGAGGCUCCAUGAAGCACGUGGUUUCCUAAUACCAGAAGAAAAUUCAAGCCUUUUAACAUGGCAGUCCACAGUGGUAGGAGGCGGAAAGAGACUUUGGGUAUUCAGAAAUGGUUUAUCACCUUCUACUUCUUUGGCUGCAUGAUACUCAGAGAUACCAUUCAUGUCUAUAUCUAAAUGACACUCAUUUUUUUCCUUUCUAAAUGGAGCACCUGGCUCCAAGUUCUGGACAUCUGGGUGAUGCAGUGUUUUCUUCAUUUA
rnacentral:lncRNA from 1 species